rnacentral:rRNA from 1 species
GACGAACGCUGGCGGCGUGCUUAACACAUGCAAGUCGAGCGGUAAGGCCCUUUCGGGGGUACACGAGCGGCGAACGGGUGAGUAACACGUGGGUGACCUGCCCUCAGCUCUGGGAUAAGCCUGGGAAACUGGGUCUAAUACUGGAUAUGACUCCACGGUGCAUGUCGUGGGGUGGAAAGCCUUGUGCGGCUGAGGAUGGGCCCGCGGCCUAUCAGCUUGCUGGUGGGGGAUGGCCUACCAAGGCGACGACGGGUAGCCGGCCUGAGAGGGCGACCGGCCACACUGGGACUGAGACACGGCCCAGACUCCUACGGGAGGCAGCAGUGGGGAAUCUUGCGCAAUGGGCGAAAGCCUGACGCAGCGACGCCGCGUGAGGGAUGACGGCCU